rnacentral:tRNA from 1 species
GGUGGCACAGCUCAGUGGUGGAGCGCAUGCUUAGCAUGCACAAGGUACUGGGUUCAAUCCCCAGCACCUCCA